rnacentral:rRNA from 1 species
UGGGAAUUUUGGACAAUGGGCGAAAGCCUGAUCCAGCAAUGCCGCGUGUGUGAAGAAGGCCUUCGGGUUGUAAAGCACUUUUGUCCGGAAAGAAAUCCUUGGCUCUAAUACAGUCGGGGGAUGACGGUACCGGAAGAAUAAGCACCGGCUAACUACGUGCCAGCAGCCGCGGUAAUACGUAGGGUGCAAGCGUUAAUCGGAAUUACUGGGCGUAAAGCGUGCGCAGGCGGUUUGCUAAGACCGAUGUGAAAUCCCCGGGCUCAACCUGGGAACUGCAUUGGUGACUGGCAGGCUAGAGUAUGGCAGAGGGGGGUAGAAUUCCACGUGUAGCAGUGAAAUGCGUAGAGAUGUGGAGGAAUACCGAUGGCGAAGGCAGCCCCCUGGGCAAUACUGACGCUCAUGCACGAAAGCGUGGGGAGCAAACAGGAUUAGAUACCCUGGUAGUCCACGCCCUAAACGAUGUCAACUAGUUGUUGGGGAUUCAUUCCUUAGUAACGUAGCUAACGCGUGAAGUUGACCGCCUGGGGAGUACGGUCGCAAGAUUAAAACUCAAAUGAAUUG